rnacentral:rRNA from 1 species
GCUGGCGGCGUGCUUAACACAUGCAAGUCGAACGGGAUCCAUCAAGCUUGCUUGGUGGUGAGAGUGGCGAACGGGUGAGUAAUGCGUGACCGACCUGCCCCAUACACCGGAAUAGCUCCUGGAAACGGGUGGUAAUGCCGGAUGCUCCAGUUGAUCGCAUGGUCUUCUGGGAAAGCUUUCGCGGUAUGGGAUGGGGUCGCGUCCUAUCAGCUUGACGGCGGGGUAACGGCCCACCGUGGCUUCGACGGGUAGCCGGCCUGAGAGGGCGACCGGCCAC